rnacentral:lncRNA from 1 species
CUUGGAUUUGAAGAGACCUUAAAGAUUAUCUAACUCCAACCCCCCUGCCAUGGGCAGGAGGAACACCUCUCACUAGAUUAGGUUGGCCAAGGCCCCAUCCAGCCUGGCCUUGAACACUUCUGGGGAUGGGGCAUCCACAGCUUCUCUGGGCAACCUGUUCCCAUGCCUCAUCACCUUCUGAGUGGAGAAUUCCAUCUAAAUAUCUAAUCUAAAUCUACCCUAUUCUAGUUUUAAACCAUUCUCCCUUGUCCUAUCAUUAACUACAGUGUUUUUUUUUGUUGUUGUUGUUGUUUUUUUGUUUGUUUGUUUGUUUUCCUUUAGAAGACCCCUUUAAAUACUGAAAGGUCUCCCCAGAGCUUUCUCUUCACCAGGCCGAACAUCCACAGCUCUCUCAGCUUUUCUUCAUAGAAGUGCUCCAGCCUGCUGACCAUCUUUGUAGCCCUCCCCUGGACUCACUCUAACACAUCCUCAUUUUUCUUGUGCUGGGGGCCUCAAAUCUGGACACAGGAGGGCAGGUCCAGUUUGUUUCCAAAAUUAGCAAAUUCUCUCCCCACUCACUUAGACUGACAAUGUAGCAGGUGGGUACUCAAGCUAACCCCAAACGGGUAAGGCCAGACACUGUGAGCACUAAAUCUCUGUUAGCAGUUCACCUAGGAAGGACCACACCAACACAGCAACUUUGUUCCAGCAGAAGCUCUGGAAACACAAUCUACCCCACUUUCAAUAUCUUUGCUCUGACUGAUUGCUCAGUGAAGGAUUUGUGGAUCUGGCAUGGAGGCUUUUCUCAGAAGAAAGUGCCACAGUUACAAUUUGGCCUCCCAAAACUUCAGCAUUGA